rnacentral:rRNA from 1 species
GGGUUGUGAGGUUAAGCGACUAAGCGUACACGGUGGAUGCCCUGGCAGUCAGAGGCGAUGAAGGGCGUGCUAAUCUGCGAUAAGCGCCGGUAAGGUGAUAUGAACCGUUAUAACCGGCGAUACCCGAAUGGGGAAACCCAGUGUGACUCGUCACACUAUCAUUAACUGAAUCCAUAGGUUAAUGAGGCGAACCGGGGGAACUGAAACAUCUAAGUACCCCGAGGAAAAGAAAUCAACCGAGAUUCCCCCAGUAGCGGCGAGCGAACGGGGAGGAGCCCAGAGCCUGAAUCAGCAUGUGUGUUAGUGGAAGCGUCUGGAAAGGCGCGCGAUACAGGGUGACAGCCCCGUACACAAAAGCGCAUGUGCUGUGAGCUCGAUGAGUAGGGCGGGACACGUGGUAUCCUGUCUGAAUAUGGGGGGACCAUCCUCCAAGGCUAAAUACUCCUGACUGACCGAUAGUGAACCAGUACCGUGAGGGAAAGGCGAAAAGAACCCCGGCGAGGGGAGUGAAAAAGAACCUGAAACCGUGUACGUACAAGCAGUGGGAGCACCCUUUUGGGUGUGACUGCGUACCUUUUGUAUAAUGGGUCAGCGACUUAUAUUCUGUAGCAAGGUUAACCGUAUAGGGGAGCCGCAGGGAAACCGAGUCUUAACCGGGCGUUAAGUUGCAGGGUAUAGACCCGAAACCCGGUGAUCUAGCCAUGGGCAGGUUGAAGGUUGGGUAACACUAACUGGAGGACCGAACCGACUAAUGUUGAAAAAUUAGCGGAUGACCUGUGGCUGGGGGUGAAAGGCCAAUCAAACCGGGAGAUAGCUGGUUCUCCCCGAAAGCUAUUUAGGUAGCGCCUCGUGAAUUCAUCUCCGGGGGUAGAGCACUGUUUCGGCUAGGGGGCCAUCCCGGCUUACCAACCCGAUGCAAACUGCGAAUACCGGAGAAUGUUAUCACGGGAGACACACGGCGGGUGCUAACGUCCGUCGUGAAGAGGGAAACAACCCAGACCGCCAGCUAAGGUCCCAAAGUCAUGGUUAAGUGGGAAACGAUGUGGGAAGGCCCAGACAGCCAGGAUGUUGGCUUAGAAGCAGCCAUCAUUUAAAGAAAGCGUAAUAGCUCACUGGUCGAGUCGGCCUGCGCGGAAGAUGUAACGGGGCUAAACCAUGCACCGAAGCUGCGGCAGCGACACUAUGUGUUGUUGGGUAGGGGAGCGUUCUGUAAGCCUGUGAAGGUGUGCUGUGAGGCAUGCUGGAGGUAUCAGAAGUGCGAAUGCUGACAUAAGUAACGAUAAAGCGGGUGAAAAGCCCGCUCGCCGGAAGACCAAGGGUUCCUGUCCAACGUUAAUCGGGGCAGGGUGAGUCGACCCCUAAGGCGAGGCCGAAAGGCGUAGUCGAUGGGAAACGGGUUAAUAUUCCCGUACUUGGUGUUACUGCGAAGGGGGGACGGAGAAGGCUAUGUUGGCCGGGCGACGGUUGUCCCGGUUUAAGCGUGUAGGCUGGUUUUCUAGGCAAAUCCGGAAAAUCAAGGCUGAGGCGUGAUGACGAGGCACUACGGUGCUGAAGCAACAAAUGCCCUGCUUCCAGGAAAAGCCUCUAAGCAUCAGGUAACAUCAAAUCGUACCCCAAACCGACACAGGUGGUCAGGUAGAGAAUACCAAGGCGCUUGAGAGAACUCGGGUGAAGGAACUAGGCAAAAUGGUGCCGUAACUUCGGGAGAAGGCACGCUGACACGUAGGUGAAGUGAUUUACUCAUGGAGCUGAAGUCAGUCGAAGAUACCAGCUGGCUGCAACUGUUUAUUAAAAACACAGCACUGUGCAAACACGAAAGUGGACGUAUACGGUGUGACGCCUGCCCGGUGCCGGAAGGUUAAUUGAUGGGGUCAGCGCAAGCGAAGCUCCUGAUCGAAGCCCCGGUAAACGGCGGCCGUAACUAUAACGGUCCUAAGGUAGCGAAAUUCCUUGUCGGGUAAGUUCCGACCUGCACGAAUGGCGUAAUGAUGGCCAGGCUGUCUCCACCCGAGACUCAGUGAAAUUGAACUCGCUGUGAAGAUGCAGUGUACCCGCGGCAAGACGGAAAGACCCCGUGAACCUUUACUAUAGCUUGACACUGAACAUUGAGCCUUGAUGUGUAGGAUAGGUGGGAGGCUUUGAAGUGUGGACGCCAGUCUGCAUGGAGCCGACCUUGAAAUACCACCCUUUAAUGUUUGAUGUUCUAACGUGGACCCGUGAUCCGGGUUGCGGACAGUGUCUGGUGGGUAGUUUGACUGGGGCGGUCUCCUCCUAAAGAGUAACGGAGGAGCACGAAGGUUGGCUAAUCCUGGUCGGACAUCAGGAGGUUAGUGCAAUGGCAUAAGCCAGCUUGACUGCGAGCGUGACGGCGCGAGCAGGUGCGAAAGCAGGUCAUAGUGAUCCGGUGGUUCUGAAUGGAAGGGCCAUCGCUCAACGGAUAAAAGGUACUCCGGGGAUAACAGGCUGAUACCGCCCAAGAGUUCAUAUCGACGGCGGUGUUUGGCACCUCGAUGUCGGCUCAUCACAUCCUGGGGCUGAAGUAGGUCCCAAGGGUAUGGCUGUUCGCCAUUUAAAGUGGUACGCGAGCUGGGUUUAGAACGUCGUGAGACAGUUCGGUCCCUAUCUGCCGUGGGCGCUGGAGAACUGAGGGGGGCUGCUCCUAGUACGAGAGGACCGGAGUGGACGCAUCACUGGUGUUCGGGUUGUCAUGCCAAUGGCACUGCCCGGUAGCUAAAUGCGGAAGAGAUAAGUGCUGAAAGCAUCUAAGCACGAAACUUGCCCCGAGAUGAGUUCUCCCUGAGACUUUAAGUCUCCUGAAGGAACGUUGAAGACGACGACGUUGAUAGGCCGGGUGUGUAAGCGCAGCGAUGCGUUGAGCUAACCGGUACUAAUGAACCGUGAGGCUUAACCUUACAACGCCGAAG